CACGUAGGGGGCGAGCGUUGUCCGGAUUCAUUGGGCGUAAAGGGCGCGCAGGCGGCUCGGAAAGUCGGGUGUGAAAACUCGGGGCUCAACCCCGGGCGUGCAUCCGAUACUGCCGGGCUUAGGCGAGGUAGGGGAGAUCGGAAUUCCUGGUGUAGCGGUGAAAUGACGCAGAUAUCAGGAGGAACACCGGUGGCGAAGGCGGAUCUCUGGGCCUGUCCUGACGCUGAGGCGCGAAAGCUAGGGGAGCGAACAGG
rnacentral:rRNA from 1 species